AUUGAUCUUAAGUUUCAUCUUCUUCGUCUUCGACUUCGUAGUUUCCAUCUCCGUCUCCUUCGUCCGCCAUCGAUUUCUAACCCUUUGUCACCGCCUCAAGGUAUGCCGAUGCGCUCUGAUUCUUUUGUCUUGAAUGUGAUUGGAUGAUAAUGAUUGUUUUGUGUUGAAAUUGUGAUAUAUGAGGAAUGUAAUGUGUUGUAGUUUGCUGCGAGAGUUGUAUUCUGUGCAUUGUGUGUUGUGCUAAGCACUACUUGUAUUAGAUUUUCAGCAUAUAGAUGGUGGUCCUUUCUCUACGUAGCCUCCUCUGGUUAGAUUUCUUAGCCUAUUAGUGGAAUUGUGCAAGUCUGUUGCGUAGUAAGCAUAUUGGGCACUAUUUGUUGUAUCGACAGGGUACUGAACAAGGUUCCCAUCAUUUUGCAUUUUGAGGCAGAAAAUCCCGAAUAAAUCAUCUGCUUCUGAGGCACUCGAGAAAAACUCUUGUCCAGCUGAUAUAUGCU
rnacentral:lncRNA from 1 species